rnacentral:rRNA from 1 species
UACGUAGGGUGCAAGCGUUAAUCGGAAUUACUGGGCGUAAAGCGUGCGCAGGCGGUUGUGCAAGACAGAUGUGAAAUCCCCGGGCUCAACCUGGGAAUUGCAUUUGUGACUGCACGGCUAGAGUGUGUCAGAGGGGGUAGAAUUCCACGUGUAGCAGUGAAUGCGUAGAGAUGUGGACGGAAUGACCGAUGGCGAAGGCAGCCCCUGGGAUAACACUGACGCUCAUGCACGGAAAGCGUGGGGAGCAAACAGGAUUAGAACCGUAC